GGGAAAUUAGAUUGCUACUUUUGCCGGCGAGCGGCGGACGGGUGAGUAAUGCCUGGGAAAUUGCCCAGUCGAGGGGGAUAACAGUUGGAAACGACUGCUAAUACCGCAUACGCCCUACGGGGGAAAGCAGGGGACCUUCGGGCCUUGCGCGAUUGGAUAUGCCCAGGUGGGAUUAGCUAGUUGGUGAGGUAAUGGCUCACCAAGGCGACGAUCCCUAGCUGGUCUGAGAGGAUGAUCAGCCACACUGGAACUGAGACACGGUCCAGACUCCUACGGGAGGCAGCAGUGGGGAAUAUUGCACAAUGGGGGAAACCCUGAUGCAGCCAUGCCGCGUGUGUGAAGAAGGCCUUCGGGUUGUAAAGCACUUUCAGCGAGGAGGAAAGGUCAGUAGCUAAUAUCUGCUGGCUGUGACGUUACUCGCAGAAGAAGCACCGGCUAACUCCGUGCCAGCAGCC
rnacentral:rRNA from 1 species